CCCAAAGUCGAUUUUGGUCUGAUUUAGACCCCAAAAAUAUCAAUACCGGUUUAAUCUGCCCCUGAGCUGUUUAGUGUCACAUCAAAAAUGGUUUUGCAUGUGAUUUUCGUUUAUUUGAUGAUCACUUGGCGCUGAUGUGGCAAAUGGUCACUCUUUUCCCGGCCAGUGUUUACAGCUCAUAAAUUCCCCAAAUGGGCGCUUGAACCCUAAAUUCCCCAUUGACGCUCGCUCGCUCGAUCCAAGACCUCACGCUCGAAUUCAGGCCUCACUCUUGAAUCGGCUGCAGUCCAUGGCGUCAUCCACGAGCUUCUCGGCUAGCUCCUCCACGGGACGCAGGUCCUAUUCUAGUGGUACGGCGGCAGCGACACUGUCGCCGGUGCCAUAUCAUGAGGGUCCGUUGCAGUACAAGUUAGUGUUGUGCGGAUGCGGAGUGAAAGCCCGUCGGCAGAAGCCUGUUGAAUCCAGGGCGAAGGUACCAGGAAAUCAAAGGGUCUGGACUGUUGGUGAAUCGUGGCAUGAUGUUGCUGAAUCGUCUGAAAAAAGAGAAGAUGUAAUUGAAGAAUCUCGCUCUAGGCUGAAGCUUGCAUGGCGAAGGUAGUUGACUGGAGAUGGGCAUGAGGUUGUUUGUGAAUGAGAUGCAAUUCAAGCACGCAGCAGUAGUAGAAUUAGGUCCUUAAGUAGAAGACUUGCAGAUAAAAUUAACAAGAUUUAGAUCGUGAGUAGUGCCUGUUGUAAUUCACAUGAGUAGUGCUUCAUGCUGAGAAUUUAUAAGAAAAUGUCUGUAGGAUGUUCAGAA